UAAUGAUUGAUGCACACUGCUACACUGUGUCACAGGAAAACAAGGUCCCUUUCAAGUUGGCAGUGUAACCACCCAAACAACUUUAUUCACCCUUUGAGUGAAUGCAGCCAAUGAGGAAUGCUACCAGCGCAGCAAUGCGUCCCCGAAGACGUAACAAUGGGUGUCAGCUGGCACGAAGCAAGAAGAGCCGCCAGAGACCGGAUAAAACGGAGGGCACUCGUCGGCCAAUGUUCCAGUACGGGAGGAACUAAGUCUAAGAGUAGGAAGAAGCAGAGCUUAUUCAAUCCCGUCCCUUUUAAAGCCAAUCUUGUUACGGGUGUACAGGGGAAGAAGACGGCACAGACAGCAGAGGAGUGUUACCAGUAGUGUGGAGCGAGAGGCGGAAGUGCAAGAGGGGCAAGGCUGGCUCGGAGGUCCGUGAGUAGGCGUGAGGUCAAGGCGCAGGAGAGAGGCGUCAAAUGUCCGUGUCCAGGCGGCGGGAGGUCGAGAUCCAAGAGGCAGCCAGGAAAGCAGAGGGAACACGGGGAGACGAGACGCACAGCUGGCGACGCGGUAACGGAGGUAUGCUGCUGGAAGGCGACAAGGGGGACACGAGACAAAUGAACACGGAGGG